rnacentral:SRP_RNA from 1 species
AGGCUGUAAUGGCUUAUAGUGGAACCAGAUACUUUGAGAUACCUGACCUUGGAACGAAACUUCCUUGCUGUUGGGCACAGAUUGCACGCUUUCCCUUCGUGGAAGUAAAAGAACGGAGAAGAUUCGUCUUCAAAAUUCUGCGCUGUGUCUCCUUUGUUACAACUAUCUUCCGUCCGUCGUUCAAUUAUGCUAUUUCGACAAUUUCUAUUGUGGGAAUAGGCGGGCGGGCACUACAGAACGUGUCCCAGUUUAACCAAUUAAUCGAUCCUUGCGGGUAAUUUUCUUCGUAAAAUAAUGCCCACAAAGUCAAAUUUGUCGACAGUCCAUACGAGUAAUCUAUUGGUUCUGUUUGGUGCAGCAAUGUAGCUUAGCUUAAUCGCUUUGCGUCAACCGCCGUAGGGGAGUUUCAUCCAGCAUCGGCAGGCGUGACCCGUGAUGGAGGCGACUGGGAUUGCACUGUUCUAAGUGUAAAUUUAAAUGCUAAUUCUGAUAUUACUUGUAAUAUUUGAAAUUGGUAGUGUAACGGAGUAUCACUCAUCUUCAAUGAUAGUAUAUUUAUAUGCAUGAGUGUCGAAGGAACCACUAACGAUU